GCUGGGCAUGUUGGCACAUGCCUGUAAUCCCAGCUACUUGGGAGGCUGAGGCAGGAGGAUCACUUGAACCCAGGAGGCAGAGGUUGCAGUGAGUCGAGAUCGCGCCAUUGCACUCCAGCCUGGGUGACAGAGUGAGACUCUAUCUCAA
ensembl:misc_RNA Metazoa_SRP Metazoan signal recognition particle RNA